AUUGAACGCUGGCGGCAGGCCUAACACAUGCAAGUCGAACGAGUGGCGCACGGGUGAGUAAUGUCUGGGAAACUGCCUGAUGGAGGGGGCUAACUACUGGAAACGGUAGCUAAUACCGCAUACCAUCGGAUGUGCCCAGAGGGGAUUAGCUAGGAGGUGGGGUAAAGGCUCACCUAGGCGAAGAUCCCUAGCUGGUCUGAGAGGAUGAUCAGCCACACUGGAACUGGGACACGGGCCAGACUCCUACGGGAGGCAGCAGUGGGGAAUAGUGCACAAUGGGCGCAAGCCUGAUGCAGCCAUGCCGCGGGUAUGAAGAAGUCCUUCGGGUUGUAAAGUACGUUCAGCGGGGAGGCGUUACCCGCAGAAGAAGCACCGGCGAACUCCGUGCCAGCCGCGGCGGUAAUG
rnacentral:rRNA from 1 species